GUGGGGAAUAUUGGACAAUGGGGGGAACCCUGAUCCAGCCAUGCCGCGUGUGUGAAGAAGGCCUUUUGGUUGUAAAGCACUUUAAGCGAGGAGGAGGCUACCGAGAUUAAUACUCUUGGAUAGUGGACGUUACUCGCAGAAUAAGCACCGGCUAACUCUGUGCCAGCAGCCGCGGUAAUACAGAGGGUGCAAGCGUUAAUCGGAUUUACUGGGCGUAAAGCGCGCGUAGGUGGCCAAUUAAGUCAAAUGUGAAAUCCCCGAGCUUAACUUGGGAAUUGCAUUCGAUACUGGUUGGCUAGAGUAUGGGGGAGGAUGGUAGAAUUCCAGGUGUAGCGGUGAAAUGCGUAGAGAUCUGGAGGAAUACCGAUGGCGAAGGCAGCCAUCUGGCCUAAUACUGACACUGAGGUGCGAAAGCAUGGGGAGCAAACAGGAUUAGAUACCCCGGUAGUCC
rnacentral:rRNA from 1 species